CGGUGAAGGGGAGAGAGGAGGAAGAAGAAGAAGGGAUGGUGAAGUGUGAAUUUAGAAGAGGAGUUCAAAACGGUUUGUAAAUUACUCGGCGACUGCUAAUGAAGAAGCUUCAAAUGCACAGAACACCAUCUUCUACAACUCCUACUGCCCAUACUAUUCAGAGCUUUCAUUGAGAAGUAUCUGGUCUCCAGAAUCCUUUUUGGGCACUUAAUAUUCCUUCUUGGUGUUUAGAGAAGGUUAGAU